AACGGAAUCAAGAGGAGCUUGCUUUUCUUGAUUUAGUGGCGAACGGGUGAGUAACGCGUGAGUAACCUGCCCUGGAGUGGGGGACAACAGUUGGAAACGACUGCUAAUACCGCAUAAGCCCACGGUGCUGCAUGGCACUGCGGGAAAAGGAUUUAUUCGCUUCAGGAUGGACUCGCGUCCAAUUAGCUAGUUGGUGAGGUAACGGCCCACCAAGGCGACGAUUGGUAGCCGGACUGAGAGGUUGAACGGCCACAUUGGGACUGAGACACGGCCCAGACUCCUACGGGAGGCAGCAGUGGGGGAUAUUGCACAAUGGGGGAAACCCUGAUGCAGCGACGCCGCGUGGAGGAAGAAGGUUUUCGGAUUGUAAACUCCUGUCGUUAGGGACGAUAAUGACGGUACCUAACAAGAAAGCACCGGCUAACUACGUGCCAGCAGCCGCGGUAAAACGUAGGGUGCAAGCGUUGUCCGGAAUUACUGGGUGUAAAGGGAGCGCAGGCGGACCGGCAAGUUGGAAGUGAAAUCCAUGGGCUCAACCCGUGAAUUGCUUUCAAAACUGCUGGCCUUGAGUAGUGCAGAGGUAGGCGGAAUUCCCGGUGUAGCGGUGGAAUGCGUAGAUAUCGGGAGGAACACCAGUGGCGAAGGCGACCUACUGGGCACCAACUGACGCUGAGGCUCGAAAGCAUGGGUAGCAAACAGGAUUAGAUACCC
rnacentral:rRNA from 1 species